rnacentral:rRNA from 1 species
CCUACGGGAGGCAGCAGUAGGGAAUAUUGCUCAAUGGGGGAAACCCUGAAGCAGCAACGCCGCGUGGAGGAUGAAGGUUUUCGGAUUGUAAACCUCUGUCAGCAGGGAAGAACGGUCACUGUGCUAAUCAGCAGUGAAUUGACGGUACCUGCAAAGGAAGCACCGGCUAACUCCGUGCCAGCAGCCGCGGUAAUACGGAGGGUGCGAGCGUUAAUCGGAAUUACUGGGCGUAAAGCGCUCGUAGGCGGUAUGUCAAGUCAAGGGUGAAAUCCCCGCGCUCAACGUGGGAACUGCCUUUGAAACUGGCAAACUGGAGUGUGUGAGAGGAUAGUGGAAUUCCAGGUGUAGGAGUGAAAUCCGUAGAUAUCUGGAGGAACAUCAGUGGCGAAGGCGACUAUCUGGCACAUAACUGACGCUGAGGAGCGAAAGCGUGGGUAGCAAACAGGAUUAGAUACCCGGGUAGUC